UCUGCAUGACCUCAGGAUCCCCAUCACCCCAUGUGUCUCUGUGCCCAUGGAUAGCACUUCCAGAGAGGAGAAGACCCCAUUGUCAGGAGAGAAGCAGAUCGGGCACAGGAGGGGGCUUAGAGGAAGAGCUUUGAGCCCUGAGGGCUAUGAUUCCAUGUGUGGACACUGGCCUUGUCAUUCCUUCUUAUUUUGUAGUUCUUCACAUACAAAUAAGCAGCCUCUGUGGUGGAGGGGGAUAAGGGGUGGUGGUUGAUCCUGGACUUAGAUGCCUUCAUAUCAGGAAUAUGCUAUUUUCUUAAUUUACUCCAUAUUCACUCCAUGAAUUCUCUAGGACAAGAGCCCUUGCUGUUCUACAUUUGCAGACAUGUGGGGACACUGGUUUCUUCCCAUAGCCUCUGUUCCCCAUCCCCAAAGCUCUCAGCGGAACCCAAAGUAUGGGUAGAGUUCUUUUGAUGCUGAUGUUGCCCACUUGGAACCCAGUUGUGGGGAAGCUAGUAGGAGAUGAGCACGACUUCUUUAGGUUUUUGCUUUUUGCCAGUGUUGGUGCUUGGUUCUGUCCUAUGAACACAGCUUUCAUUUCUGUUCCACAGGCCAUUAUGUAUGCAAGAGGGCCUGGUCCUUUCCUAGGUUCGCCUUGCAGGCUGUACCCCAUGGAUGGCCCUUCAUCACCAGCUCUUACCCCUCCUCCACCAGCUCCUCCACAUACUCAAUUUGGAGAAUUUGAAGUUUGAAGAGGACCCUGAACUGUGACAAAUGGGCUGGGUGAUGUAAUAUAUUUAGAAAAGUUGUCUGAUAUGCGUAUUUGACUAAAUUCUUUCCCUGACCAAUCCUGUCCCCUCUAUUUUGUCUUUCCUCAUUUCCCCUGAUAAACCCAUCACAGUUCUG